GACGUAGGGGGCGAGCGUUGUCCGGAUUUACUGGGCGUAAAGCGCGCGUAGGCGGCCCGUUAAGUCGGAUGUGAAAACCCAGGGCUCAACCCUGGGCCUGCAUCCGAUACUGGCGGGCUCGAGGCAGGUAGGGGAGAGCGGAAUUCCAGGUGUAGCGGUGAAAUGCGUAGAUAUCUGGAGGAACACCGGUGGCGAAGGCGGCAUCCUGGACCGGCAUUGACGCUGAGGCGCGAAAGCUAGGGGAGCAAACGGG
rnacentral:rRNA from 1 species